rnacentral:rRNA from 1 species
AGCAGGCGCGAAACCUUUACACUGCACGGAAGUGCGAUAGGGGAAUCCCAAGUGCGAGGGCAUAUUAGCCCUCGCUUUUCUCGACUGUAAGGUGAUCGACGAAUAAGAGCUGGGCAAGACCGGUGCCAGCCGCCGCGGUAAUACCGGCAGCUCAAGUGAUGUCCCAUAUUAUUGGGCCUAAAGCGUCCGUAGCUGGCCGACCAAGUCUCCCGGGAAAUCCACCCGCCCAACGGGUGGGCGUCCGGUAGAAACUGGCCGGCUUGGAACCGGAAGGCUCAGAGAGUACGUCCGGGGUAGGAGUGAAAUCCCGUAAUCCCGGACGGACUACCGAUGGCGAAAGCACUCUGAGAAGACGGCUUUGACAGUGAGGGACGAAAGCUCGGGUCUCAAACCGGAUUAGAUACCCGGGUAGUCCAAGCUGUAACCUAUCUCGUUAGGUGUGGCACCCACUACGAGUGGGUGCUGCGCCGUAGGAAGCCGCUAAACGAUCCGCAAUGAAA